GCUAUCUUGUCGGAGUGCCUAGCGCGUUUCCGUUUCUUGAGUGUUAAGCAAGAAAAGAAAAUGCGCAGGCUGAGACCGUUAAUUCGGGAUCCGCGGAACCUGAUCGGGUUAAUACCCGCGAAGGGAACAAGAGUAAUGUGCCU
rnacentral:ncRNA from 2 species